GCGCCCGUAGCUCAAUUGGAUAGGGCGUUUGACUAGGGAUCAAGAGAUUAGGGGUUCGACUGCUCUCGGGCGCG
rnacentral:tRNA from 1 species